AGUGAACGCUGGCGGCAGGCCUAACACAUGCAAGUCGAACGGCAGCACAAGAGAGCUUGCUCUCUGGGUGGCGAGUGGCGGACGGGUGAGGAAUGCAUCGGAAUCUGCCCAUUUGUGGGGGAUAACCUCGGGAAACCGGGACUAAUACCGCAUACGACCUACGGGUGAAAGCAGGGGAUCUUCGGACCUUGCGCAGAUGGAUGAGCCGAUGCCGGAUUAGCUAGUUGGAGGGGUAAAGGCCCACCAAGGCGACGAUCCGUAGCUGGUCUGAGAGGAUGAUCAGCCCCACUGGGACCGAGACACGGCCCAGACUCCUACGGGAGGCAGCAGUGGGGAAUCUUGGACAAUGGGCGCAAGCCUGAUCCAGCCAUGCCGCGUGUGUGAAGAAGGCCUUCGGGUUGUAAAGCACUUUUGUUGGGAAAGAAAAGCAGCCGGUUAAUACCCGGUUGUCAUGACGGUACCCAAAGAAUAAGCACCGGCUAACUUCGU
rnacentral:rRNA from 1 species